CCCUCUCUACUAAAAAUACAAAAAUUAUGCAGUUUCUCAUUUGCUGUGGACAUGACCAUAAAAAAAUUUCCCAGUAGGUUUUUUCUCUGCUACUUUGCUAGCAAUCAGCUUAUUGGGAACAGUU